rnacentral:rRNA from 1 species
CCUACGGGGGGCAGCAGUGGGGAAUAUUGCACAAUGGGGGAAACCCUGAUGCAGCGACGCCGCGUGAGUGAAGAAGUAUUUCGGUAUGUAAAGCUCUAUCAGUAGGGAAGAAAAUGACGGUACCUGACUAAGAAGCCCCGGCUAACUACGUGACACCAGCGGCGGUUAUAUGUCGGGGGCAAGCGUUAUCCGGAUUUACUGGGCUUAAGGGGAGCGUAGACGGCUGCGCAAGUCUGCAGUGAAAUGGCGGGGCCUAACCCCGGAACUGCUUUUGAAACUGUGCCGCUAGAGUGCAGGAGAGGUAAGUGGAAUGCCUAGUGUAGCGGUGAAAUGCGUAGAUAUUAGGAGGAACACCAGUUGCGAAGGCAGCUUACUGGACUGUAACUGACGUUGAGGCUCGAAAGCGUGGGGAGCAAACAGGAUUAGAUACCCCAGUAGUC